GAUUGAGCUUGUUGAGACUGGCAUGCGACAGGCACAUGACUUUGAGUGUCUAAGUGAGCGUGUUUCCGGUGCCCCACCUCAGGAAACAGGUGGUCGUGGUCUCCGAGGAGCUAGUGGCCAUCACAGAGGUGGUAGGGCUCGCAGAGGUGGUGAGGCUCCGUCGACUUCAGAGAUCCCGUCGAGUUCUUACCGGCCGUCGACUACAGAUAACCCAUCGACUUCCCGGCCGUCGACUUCACAGACACCUCUGUAUACGCCUGACCCUUUGUCAGAUUAUGUGCCCUGGCCUUCAUUUCUAGCUCCACCAGUUCAUGAUCCACAGGGUGAGCGGCCGGUUCGUGAUCUACAGGGUGGCCUACAUCUGGACUUCGACGCCAUAUUCGAGGACUUUGUGUUUGAUACGACACCAUCUGCAUCUCCUGCUCCGGCGGCCGCUCUGGAGCCUUCUCACCAGGCAUCUCAGGGGGCCGUUGACACACAGGUUUGAUUUUUAGAAUAAAAUAAUUUAUUAAUUAUUUUUUCAUAUGUUAUUUCAUGUUUAGUUUAGAAUAAAUUCUAAACUAAAUUGUUUAUAUGUUAUUUCAGGUUCAUUCUUCUACGCCUGUGGACCCAUCUCCGGCUCUAGCUACAGCUCUGAGGCCCACUCAGGAGACCGUUCAGGAGCCAGCUCAGGAGCUCUCUCACCAGCCAUCUCAGGAGGCCGUCGACACACAGGUUCAUUCUUCUGCGCCUGUGGACGGGUCUCCUAAUGAGAUUGACGAGACUCCUGAUGCUGUUGUCCCACUGCCACCGCCCACCGUCAUCUCCCAUAGGAAGCAUGUUAUGAACCAGGGUCCGGGUCGAAUGAAGGGAAGGAAGGGAAGCAAGGAUGAUCAUUCCAUAGAACAUGUACAUAUUAAGAGGAGGAAGGGGGAUGAAGAUGAUGGUGAGGGUGGUGGGGUUGGCCUUAGGCCUAGCCGUACUCUAAAGGCUCCCAGAUGUGGGACCUGAGAUUGUGUAUUUGUAAAUAAAGUGUUUAUUUUAUGUUAAUAUUAUAUAUAUUUUUGGUUAUUAUUUUCUUAAUGAUAAUUAGUUAUCUUAGUCUUUAUUGUCAAUUAAUAAUAACUCGUGCGACGUCCUAAAUUAAUCA